UAGGGAAUCUUCCGCAAUGGGCGAAAGCCUGACGGAGCAACGCCGCGUGAGUGAUGAAGGUCUUCGGAUCGUAAAACUCUGUUAUUAGGGAAGAACAAAUGUGUAAGUAACUAUGCACGUCUUGACGGUACCUAAUCAGAAAGCCACGGCUAACUACGUGCCAGCGGCCGCGGUAAUACGUAGGUGGCAAGCGUUAUCCGGAAUUAUUGGGCGUAAAGCGCGCGUAGGCGGUUUUUUAAGUCUGAUGUGAAAGCCCACGGCUCAACCGUGGAGGGUCAUUGGAAACUGGUAAACUUGAGUGCAGAAGAGGAAAGUGGAAUUCCAUGUGUAGCGGUGAAAUGCGCAGAGAUAUGGAGGAACACCAGUGGCGAAGGCGACUUUCUGGUCUGUAACUGACGCUGAUGAGCGAAAGCGUGGGGAUCAAACAGG
rnacentral:rRNA from 1 species